CUGUCCGAUGAUGAUCAAUUUAAAUACUUCCGUUCUUCUGAUGUGCUAUUUUGUGGUGUGGUGCGGAAUCAAUUUGGAGACCUGAACUGAGGAAAU
rfam:Triticum aestivum genome assembly, contig: Triticum_aestivum_CS42_TGACv1_scaffold_435748_5DL